rnacentral:rRNA from 1 species
GUCCACGCCGUAAACGAUGAGUGCUAGGUGUCACGGGCUUUGACCCUCGUGGUGCCGUAGCUAACGCAAUAAGCACUCCGCCUGGGGAGUACGGUCGCAAGACUAAAACUCAAAGGAAUUGACGGGGGCCCGCACAAGCGGUGGAGCAUGUGGUUUAAUUCGACGCGACGCGCAGAACCUUACCUGGGCUAGAAAACACAGGAACUCGGGUGAAAACUCGGGGUGCCCUUCGGGGAAUCUGUGGUUAGGUGUUGCAUGGCUGUCGU